GAUGAACGCUGGCGGCGUGCCUAAUACAUGCAAGUCGAGCGAACAGACGAGGAGCUUGCUCCUCUGACGUUAGCGGCGGACGGGUGAGUAACACGUGGAUAACCUACCUAUAAGACUGGGAUAACUUCGGGAAACCGGAGCUAAUACCGGAUAAUAUAUUGAACCGCAUGGUUCAAUAGUGAAAGACGGUUUUGCUGUCACUUAUAGAUGGAUCCGCACCGCAUUAGCUAGUUGGUAAGGUAACGGCUUACCAAGGCAACGAUGCUUAGCCGACCUGAGAGGGUGACUGGCCAGACGGUAACUGAGACACGGCCGAGACUCCUACGGGGGGCAGCAGUAGGGAAUCUUCCGCAAUGGGGGAAAGCCUGACGGUGCAAAGUCGCGUGAGUGAUGAAGGUCUUCUGAUCGUAAAACUCUGUUAUUAGGGAAGAACAAAUGUGUAAGUAACUAUGCACGUCUUGACGGUACCUAAUCAGAAAGCCACGGCUAACUACGUG
rnacentral:rRNA from 1 species